UAAACACGCACAUAGAGAUUUAGAGAAUACUGGGUUCUGAGGACCAAAGGGGGAAAGUGAUCCUGAAUAGCCUGCCAUAUGAGGCAGAAGAAUUUGAGUAUUCUCAAGAACUAUGAUCAUCAGCUGGUAACCUCAGGGCAGAGAGCCCUUUCCCAACCUAUGUGCCAGUGUUCUCUGACCAUCUCUCCAAUACCACCAACCAAAUGUUUGGUUCUGGGCAGGGAGCUGUUGGGAAUGGAUUGGCUCUUAACUAGAAGCUAUGGUAAGUGCAAGCAGGGUACAGA
rnacentral:lncRNA from 1 species